rnacentral:lncRNA from 1 species
AUGGCAAGAAGAAAUCAUGAACUGAGCAUAAAAUAUCAAUCAAGAGAAGAUAAAUGGAGUGAUUCUUCACUAAUUACUGAUUAUUGUCUGAAACUGAGAAAGAUCCAAGAGAACUCUUCUUUACCAUCUGGAACACAUUUGAAACUCUUUAAGAUCAUAGCCACUGUUGCUGAUGUUAAGAAAGGAGCUGUCUGCCGAAAUUCUACCUUGCUUCAAUUCAUUCAUGUCCCUGUAAUGUCUUCUGGUGUGGUAUAAAAGCAAUUAAAUGAAAUCUUUC